rnacentral:rRNA from 1 species
GACGAACGCUGGCGGCGUGCUUAACACAUGCAAGUCGAGCGGUAAGGCCCUUUCGGGGGUACACGAGCGGCGAACGGGUGAGUAACACGUGGGUGACCUGCCCUUAGCUCUGGGAUAAGCCUGGGAAACUGGGUCUAAUACCGGAUAUGACUCCAUGACGCAUGUUGUGGGGUGGAAAGCCUUGUGCGGCUAGGGGAUGGGCCCGCGGCCUAUCAGCUUGUUGGUGGGGUGANGGCCUACCAAGGCGACGACGGGUAGCCGGCCUGAGAGGGCGACCGGCCACACUGGGACUGAGACACGGCCCAGACUCCUACGGGAGGCAGCAGUGGGGAAUCUCGCGCAAUGGGCGAAAGCCUGACGCAGCGACGCCGCGUGGGGAUGACGGCCU